rnacentral:rRNA from 1 species
UACGUAGGGUGCGAGCGUUAAUCGGAAUUACUGGGCGUAAAGCGCACGUAGGCGGAUCGGUCAGUUAGGGGUGAAAUCCCAGAGCUCAACUCUGGAACUGCCUUUAAUACUGCCGAUCUGGAGUCCGGAAGAGGUGAGUGGAAUUCCGAGUGUAGAGGUGAAAUUCGUAGAUAUUCGGAGGAACACCAGUGGCGAAGGCGGCUCACUGGUCCGGUACUAACGCUGAGGUGCGAAAGCGUGGGGAGCAAACAGG